rnacentral:lncRNA from 15 species
CAGUUAAACCUCCCUGUGCCCUCUUCCAGCGGCGGAGAAAAAAUUCAACUUUCUGAACGGCUGCCGCGGCAUGAGUUGCACCUGAGGGCCACUGCAUCAUCGGGGCCAGUGGGUGAACGUGAUCAAUGGCUCCUCGUGCUGUACGGACAAUUAAUCAGUAAAGUUAAUACUGAAGGACAAACCGGCAGUGAGGUCAGUGUUAUCUCAUAUGUUCAGUGCUUCUUUUCCCAGCAGGAGGGGAUGAGAGGUCAGCAGCCAAAACUGGCGAUGUGCUGCAUACACGUCCCCGCCUGGAGGUAUAGUUUGGCUUGUCAUUAUCCUUUCUCUGUGGGGCCGAGAUUGUUUUCUCAGAGCCGGAACAUUUUAUCCAGACAUAUUGAUAUUUGCUGCCAGCAACAAGACUUGCAAGCUUUUCAUGUCUUUCAGAAUGUCUUGUGUUUACAUGACAUCAUUCAGGAAAAAUAAGACUUGUUAUUGUUAUGUACAAGCGCCAACAUUUACAUACAUCUUCCACUUGUUGUGUUAUUAUCCUUUCCUCCAGGCUGUUUGUGAAUGUGUUUUUCAUGGGAAUUUUCCAUCCUCUAUUGGAUUGAGUGCAAAGACAGUGAUAUUUACUGUUAUUCUGCCUCAUAUGGCUUUCAAAUAGUAAUGUUUAUGUUUAAUUAAUCAAUUUGGAUUAUGCUUACAUGAAAACCAUAACCAAUAAAGAGAACCAAUAAGGGGAUGUUCUAUGAGAAGAAUUCCACUAAUCCUGUGCAUUGCUGUCAGCUUCAGACUCCAUUUCCAGUCGUAUUGUCCCGAUUCUUGCAUGCCCGCUCAGAUUUAUAACGCCGCUGUUGAAUCGCUGGGUACAUAUCCUCUAAAUUCAAUGUUUAUGUUAAAAACCUUGGUGAAAAGGGCAACACAACCAUAAGAUUCUCCAAGGAACAACAAACAUGACAGCUAUGACUCAAAGAGUAAGAAGUUAUUGCCCUUAAGUUACUGGGAUACUGGGGUGAUUUCCAUUUCAAUUGCAGGCUCAAUUUGGGAUAACUCAUGCAUACAGAGGUAAUACGAACAAAGAACGUAGGAAUAAAAGUGACAAAUGUAGAGAAUGGAGCAGAGGAGUGUGGUAUCACUGGCUUUGUGUCCCAUGAAGGGUAUUGUGUGUGGCUGCAUGGAUAAGGUUGCAAGGGGACCCCUGGGACGUUGAAGUGAAGGGCACCGAGGAUGAGGGAGGACACAUGUGACAGGCAGGGGACACAGAGGACGUACCGGGACAGAAGUGAAACAUGCUUCAUACUAUACUAUGAGGCUGUGAUGCUGGUACUAUUUUCCAGUUAAUUUGAUGAAAUUGUCCAUCUUAAUUUUCCACAUCCCAAAUUGCUUGUUUUGUCCAAAUAGCAGUGCAAAAUCUCAUUCAAUUUACAAUCAUUGAGAGCAGCAGAUUGUCGUAUUUGAU